rnacentral:lncRNA from 1 species
UCGGUCUUUUGACCAAUCAUAUCAGAUCUUUUUCAGAGCUGAUCUGAUUGGUCAAACAACCAAUUAGUGAAAAAAAUAUCAGAAUUGGGCUGCCUGUGUAAACGCAGCCACUGUGGCCUUUUAUGAUAGAGAGAAUCUGAACAAAGCUCCAGCGACAAUGCAGGGAUCCUGACCCGAUACAUGGGGUUACUGGCAGGUCAGGGCCUCUGUGAUGGUCUUCUUGCCCCAGCGGAUGCACUCCGAUCACGGGAGAAGAUUGGGAUGAUAGGGGUGGAGAGUUCAACAACAGCUUCAGUAUCCUAAGCUCCUUUACUUUAGAACUGUAGAUAUCUGAGAGCAAAUUCUGAGUGAAAUACUGCAAGGAAUUUAAAAACUCUCCAACACACAAAGAAGAGUUAUGAGAAAAGAAUGACGUAAUGACAUUUAAUUUAAGAUUCCUUAAUGUAAUAAGCAAAAAAUGUAUUAAUCAACUCAGUCCCAAACUUUUUGUAACUGGAAUAGGGUGCCAUUUGGGAUGCAUCCUUUGGGUCUAUGCUAGCUUAAUGUUUUCUCCCUCCAGCAGCGCUGCAUGGCUCCAUUUUUAGUCUCCUAAUUUGAGUCUUGACAUGUCAUCCUUCUUAGGUGAGAAAUGCAUUUAGGAGGGGAAGCAAAAGGGACUGUAUUAAUGAGAGGGAUAUUUCAGUAGUCUCAGGGAGCGACAACAUUAUCACAGUCUUAAUACUGAGAACAGAACAUACGUUGAGUGAUAUUUCAGCUCCAUCAGGGAGUCACUCUGAGAAAGAGUAGGGAGUCUGCUUAUAAAAGUUUUACAGGAAACUUUUAUCCUACCUACACUACAUGGACAAAGGUAUGUGGACAGCUGCUCGUCGAACAUCUAAUUACAAAAUCAUGGGCAUUAAUAUGGAGUUGGUUACCCCUUUGCUGCAAUUUAUUUAACCUUUAUUUAACCAGGUAGAAUAGUUGAGAACAAGUUCUCAUUUGCAACUGCGACCUGGCCAAGAUAAAGCAAAGCAGUUCGACACAUACAACAACACAGAGUUACACAUGGAAUAAACAAACAUACAGUCAAUAAUACAGUAGAAAAAUCUAUAUACAGCAUGUGCAAAUGAGGUAGGAUAAGAGAGGUAAGGCAAUAAAUAGGCCAUGGUGGCAAAGUAAUUACAAUAUAGCAAUUAAAGACUAGAAUGGUAGGAUGUGCAGAAUGUGCAAGUUGAGAUACUGGGGUGCAAAGGAACAAAAUAAAUAAAUAAAUACAGUAUGGGGAUGAGGUAGAUUGGAUGGGCUAUUUACAGAUGAGCUAUGUACAGGUGCAGUGAUCUGUGAGCUGCUCUGACAGCUGGUGCUUAAAGCUAGUGAGGGAGAUAAGUCUCCAGUUUCAGAUAUUUUUGUAGUUCGUUCCAGUCAUUGGCAGCAGAGAACUGGAAGGAGAGGCGGCCAAAGGAAGAAUUGGCUUUGGGGGUGACCAGUGAGAUAUACCUGCUGGAGCGCGUGCUAUGGGUGGGUGCUGCUAUGGUGACCAGUGAGCUGAGAUAAGGCGGGGAUUUACCUAGCAGAGACCUGUAGAUGACCUGGAGCCAGUGGGUUUGGCGAUGAGUAUGAAGCGAGGGUCAGCCAACGAGAGCAUACAGGUCGCACUGGUGGGUAGUAUAUGGGGCUUUGGUGACAAAACAGAUGGCACUGUGAUAGACUGCAUCUAAUUUGUUGAGUAGAGUGUUGGAGGCUAUUAUGUAAAUGACAUCGCCAAAGUCGAGGAUCGGUAGGAUGGUCAGUUUUACGAGGGUAUGUUUGGCAGCAUGAGUAAAGGAUGCUUUGUUGCGAAAUAGGAAGCCGAUUCUAGAUUUAAUUUUGGAUUGGAGAUGUUUAAUGUGAGUCUGGAAGGAAAGUUUACAGUCUAACCAGACACCUAGGUAUUUGUAGUUGUCCACAUAUUCUAAAGCAGAACCGUCCAGAAGGCUUUCCACUAGAUGUUGUAACAUUGCUGCAGGGACUUGCUUCCAUUCAGC